AGAUAUUUCACACAGUCUGGACAAUGUGUCUGACCACCAUGUUGGAGCUAUUGGGGCUGAGACAAUGCUGAAGGGCAGGGCUACAUCUUGACCAGGAUGACUGCUUCUAUUCAUCACCAUCACCGCUUAUUUCCAGAACAUCAGCUAUCGUGUGAUGAGGAGCCUGGACCUGAGUCAAAAGGCAGUGGUGAGAUGAGAAUGAUACAGUCACGACAGACAAAAUGAGGAGAGAAAUGGGCGCUGUGAUGGGGAAAGACUAACAGGGAGAAGCUGCAACCCCAGAAGCCAUGUGUAACCUCAAAGCCAUGCAUCCUUCAGUAAGAUGCUGGGGUUUCCAUAGUCCAUCAGGACAAGCAAUUCCUGGUAACACUGCUCUGGCCUGUGGUUAAAUACUUCAGCCCUCUGACGUGAACUGAGGAGUCUAAGGAAGAAGCUAACCCUACUGUUAGGGUGGGAAGAGUGAACAGGAAAGCUUGUCCGUGCUGGCUUAUUUGCAUAACAGGGAUUAUUAGCAUCCACAAAAGACAUUCGAGAUCAUAGUUCUGCUGUGGGCAUAUAGUAAACAUAAUACUUCCUGAA